GGGCCCGUAGCUCAAUAGUUAGAGCACAUGUUUGAUACACAUGAGGUUGGGGGUGCAAAUCCCCUCGGGUCCA
rfam:Parcubacteria bacterium GW2011_GWA2_42_28 TV19_C0005, whole genome shotgun sequence.